CCAGAGCCGCCCCCGGAACCGCCCCUCCCCGCCGCGACCGCACAGUUACACUCGCACUGCUUCAUCCGCUGGAAUUUAACAAGGACGCGGCCGUGUACAAACGGGAUUGCUGUCUUUCCGAAAGCCUCAGCCUCUGCAGGGUCUCUGGAAGUGCUGGCUGACAGCGCUUGUUUCACUGCCCAGUAGCUGGGUAGCCUAGAACUGCUCUUUAUCCACCCAACAUGCACACCCCCGAGGCAUCUCCAGCUUCCAGGAUAAAGCCUGCCCUGCUUGAGGUUGUGUAUUAGCACUGCUGGAGUUGAGCAAGGCCUGUAGCCAACAGCUGAGUGCACCAAAGACAGAAGAACCUUUUCUCCUCUAAAGACCAGCUGCCUUCACCUAAGGGUCCCAAGAAGCAGAAAGCAAGAGACAGAAGUGCCCGACAGCAGACACAUAGAAUUAAGCAAACAGUCCACAUUGCAGUAACUCCUGUAACUUCACCACCUCCACCAUCAAUUCUGUUCCCAAAUUCCCUCAGCUGAAGUGGAUUUGCCACCUUGCAGGCUCAGUUCUCUGGGUUAACAGCUGCUACAGAGACUGGAGUCAGGCCACCAUCAUUCCAGGAACCACUUGCAGGUCAGCAACCAACUCCCUUCACCCACCACAAAAUCAGGGCCUUGUGUUGGCUGCAGUGUCAGUUGUUUUCAAGAGGAGGAAAAAUUAAAAUAUUAUUUUUA